CCUACGGGUGGCAGCAGUGGGGAAUAUUGGGCAAUGGGCGCAAGCCUGACCCAGCAACGCCGCGUGAAGGAAGAAGGCCUUCGGGUUGUAAACUUCUUUUGUCAGGGACGAAGAAAGUGACGGUACCUGACGAAUAAGCAACGGCUAAAUACGUGCCAGCAGCCGCGGUAAUACGUAGGUGGCAAGCGUUAUCAGGAUUUACUGGGUGGAAAGGGCGUGUAGGCGGGAGAGCAAGUCAGACGUGAAAUUCCAGGGCUCAACCCUGGAACUGCUUUUGAAACUGUUCUUCUUGCGUGAUGGAGAGGCAGGCGGAAUUCCGUGUGUAGCGGUGAAAUGCGUAGAUAUACGGAGGAACACCAGUGGCGAAGGCGGCCUGCUGGACAUUAACUGACGCUGAGGCGCGAAAGCGUGGGGAGCAAACAGGAUUAGAUACCCGUGUAGUC
rnacentral:rRNA from 1 species